UUCCAGGGAUUUGAUGCCCCUCUGGCACCACAAUCCCACGGGCAGCAGCCCUGUGUCACCCCCGAGCCAGGGGUCCCCGGGGCCGUGCUGGUGGUGUGGGGACCUCAGGACAACCCCUGGCAUUGCCACCCUGAGGGAUCAGCCAAAUUAACUCCAGGAUUUUCCAGCAGGGAAGAAGGGAUGGUUUGGCCGGCAGAGCUGGGAGAAGCCGGUUGAGCAGCACGGGGCACUCGGCUGGAGGGGCUGGGGACGGAUUCCUGGUGUCUCCAGGAGAAGCAGCUUCGCCUUCCCCAGCCCAGGGAGCGCCGGGAGCCGGAGCCAGAUGCAAACGAGGAGGAGAACUCCCAUUUUUAAGAGCCAGGUGAUUAUGAAGCGUCAGAACAAACUCUGCCCGGGGGGAGCAGAAGGGUUUUCUGCCCUCUCCCGACGUCUUUCAAGCCCAGACUGGAUGAUGGUUCCUGGGGAUGGGGCCGGUUCAAAGCAGGGGGAGCUCGGAAAAUCCGCUGCCUUUGAGUCCCCAACCUCAAACACCCACUGGCUUUUUGUAUUCAAAUGAUCAAAAAAAAAUAAUAAAAUAAUAAAAAAUAGAUCCAAGCGU